UAGAAUUUUUGAUUCAUCGGCUCUAUAUAAUAAAAUAUUUCAUUUUCACUAUUUAUACGGGAAUUACAUUGCCUGAUCGCAACCAAACUUGCAGAACAGGGUACUACAAGGCAUGUAACAUUAUACAUAAAAUUUCCAAAAGAAAAUCAAAAAAUAUGCAGAGAUCAUCCAAAACGGAGGACACUGAGCUCAUGGAUGGAUUAAUCUCAUCGCUGGUCGGCGCAGAACAUCUCGGCGAGGUCGCCCAUCUCGUAGAGCAUCACGUACGUCCACCCACGGCGCCGGCCGCACCACUGCCCGUCGCUCCGGCCCCACCCCCACCGUCGCGCUCGCGCUCGCGCCGCCGUGAUAGGCUUCUCCACCUCGCGGCCCACC
rnacentral:lncRNA from 1 species